UACAGAGGUCUCAAGCGUUGUUCGGAUUCAUUGGGCAUAAAGGGCGCGUAGGCUGCGGGGCAAGUCGGGUGUGAAAUCUCAGAGCUCAACUCUGAAACUGCACUCGAUACUGCUUUGCUCGAGGACUGGAGAGGAGAUUGGAAUUCACGGUGUAGCAGUGAAAUGCGUAGAUAUCGUGAGGAAGACCAGUGGCGAAGGCGGAUCUCUGGACAGUUCCUGACGCUGAGGCGCGAAGGCCAGGGGAGCAAACGGG
rnacentral:rRNA from 1 species